rnacentral:rRNA from 1 species
UACGAAGGGGGCUAGCGUUGCUCGGAAUUACUGGGCGUAAAGGGCGCGUAGGCGGAUAUCUAAGUUGGGGGUGAAAUCCUGGAGCUCAACUCCAGAACUGCCUUUGAUACUGGCAAGCUUGGAGUCCGGGAGAGGUGAGUGGAACUGCGAGUGUAGAGGUGAAAUUCGUAGAUAUUCGCAAGAACACCAGUGGCGAAGGCGGCUCACUGGCCCGGUACUGACGCUGAGGUGCGAAAGCGUGGGGAGCAAACAGG